CUCUUAUCACGAGAGGUGGAGGGACUGGCCCGAUGAAGCCCGGCAACCGCUAAACACAUAUUUUGUGUUUAUGAAGGUGCCAAAUCCUGCUGAGAUGAUUGAUCUCAGAAAGAUGAGAG
rnacentral:ncRNA from 2 species